rnacentral:lncRNA from 11 species
GGAAGAUUCAUAUAUUCAAAGGCUGAUCCAAACAAGCAGCUUGUGAAGUGGGGUUGUUCACCAAGAAAGCUGCCAGAGUCCUCAUCCCCCCUUUUGUCAGUUCUUUAGACAUGCUCUGGAUUCACUCUUCUUCCAAUGGCCAUCAUGGAAUCUCCCAUUCUGAGAACCUGUGACGGCGGUUCUUCUCCUGGCCCCUCCCUUCCCACUUCCAGGGUUACUAUAGGAACAGAAACAAACAAUUCUGUUCACCAUCAUACUUCAACUGCUCACUCCUUACCAGACACUCAAAGAGAGAGAGAUCAGGAGCUGAAUGGUGGCAUUGGUUCAGAGACCAUUCUCCCUGCCAGCUGGAGCUCUUCACCAGGAAAAGAAAUCUGACUGUUCAUUAUUUCUAUCUAGUAACUGGUGUAAGGGAAAGGAAACUUUGCCCUCCAGAUCCCAGUGUACAGCUGAAGAGAUCUUGUACCUGGUAAGACAGAUAUGUGAGAGUCAAGCCAAUUGAUGUUACUGAGUUAAAUAUUCAUAAAAAAGGGGUGAUGUAAAAGGUGGGCCUUUGUAACUGAAUGAUUGAAAAGGCCCAU